AGACGAUGACGGGUAGCCGGCCUGAGAGGGCGACCGGCCACACUGGGACUGAGACACGGCCCAGACUCCUASGGGAGGCAGCAGUGGGGAAUAUUGCACAAUGGGCGAAAGCCUGAUGCAGCGACGCCGCGUGAGGGAUGACGGCCUUCGGGUUGUAAACCUCUUUCAGUAGGGAAGAAGCGAAAGUGACGGUACCUGCAGAAGAAGCGCCGGCUAACUACGUGCCAGCAGCCGCGGUAAUACGUAGGGCGCAAGCGUUGUCCGGAAUUAUUGGGCGUAAAGAGCUUGUAGGUGGCUUGUCGCGUCUGCCGUGAAAAUCCAGGGCUUAACUCUGGACGUGCGGUGGGUACGGGCAGGCUAGAGUGUGGUAGGGGAGACUGGAACUCCUGGUGUAGCGGUGAAAUGCGCAGAUAUCAGGAAGAACACCGAUGGCGAAGGCAGGUCUCUGGGCCAUUACUGACACUGAGAAGCGAAAGCAUGGGGAGCGAACAGGAUUAGAUACCCUGGUAGUCCAUGCCGUAAACGUUGGGCACUAGGUGUGGGCGACAUUCCACGUUGUCUGCGCCGUAGCUAACGCAUUAAGUGCCCCGCCUGGGGAGUACG
rnacentral:rRNA from 1 species